UGCGUAGGCGGUGCCACAAGUCACUUGUGAAAUCUCCGGGCUUAACUCGGAGCCUGCAGGCGAAACUGUGGUGCUGGAGUAUGGGAGAGGUGCGUGGAAUUCCCGGUGUAACGGUGAAAUGCGUAGAUAUCGGGAGGAACACCUGUGGCGAAAGCGGCGCACUGGACCAUAACUGACGCUGAUGCACGAAAGCUAGGGGAGCAAACAGGAUUAGAUACCCUGGUAGUCCUAGCCCUAAACGAUGAUUGCUUGGUGUAGCAGGUACCCAAUCCUGCCGUGCCGAAGCUAACGCGAUAAGCAAUCCGCCUGGGGAGUACGGUCGCAAGGCUGAA
rnacentral:rRNA from 1 species